UAGUCAUAUGCUUGUGUAAAAGAAUAAGCCANGCAUGUCUAAGUAUAAAUAUUAUACAGNGAAAUUUUUUUUAUGGCUCAUUAAAACAGUUAUAGUUUAUUUGAUAAUUGCUUUACAUGGAUAACCGUGGGAAAUUUAGAGUUAAUACAUGCAUAAAGACCUGACUUCGCGGGAGGGUUGUAUUUAUUAGAUAGAAACCAAUACCUUCGGGUGUUGUGAUGAUUCAUAAUAACUGAUCGGAUCGCAACUCGCUCUGCGAUGAAUCAUUCAAGUUUCUGCCCUAUCAGCUUUCGAUGGUAGUGUAUUGGACUACCAUGGCGAUCACGGGUAACGGAGAAUUAGGGUUCGAUUCCGGAGAGGGAGCCUGANAAACGGCUACCACAUCUAAGGAAGGCAGCAGGCGCGUAAAUUACCCAAUCCUGAUUCAGGGAGGUAGUGACAAGAAAUAACGACCCGUUNCAUGUCAAAUGCAUCGGGAUUGUAAUGAGAACAAUGUAAAUAUCUUAGCGAGGAACAAUUG
rnacentral:rRNA from 1 species